rnacentral:rRNA from 1 species
CCCUUAGAUGUUCUGGGCGGCCCGCGCACUACACUGGCACUCUCAAUCAGAGCCUGGAUCUAACACUUUGGGGUAUUCUAUGAAGUGGUGUCGUGACUGGGAUUAACCCUUGCAAUUAUUGGUUACGAACGAGGAAUUCCUUGUAAUCGCGGUUUAUCAGCCCGCGUUGAAUGCGUCCCUGCCCUUUGUACACACCGCCCGUCGCUACUACCGAUUGAACGGUUUAGUGAGGGCCUCGGAUUGGUCUCGGCCCGCUCUUUACCGGGCGGCGCCGUUGGUCGAGAAGACGCUCGAACUUGAUCGUUUAGAGGAAGUAAAAGUCGUAACA